AUAUAUAUAACAUAAGUGGAAGAAGAAAAAUGGAAACAAUUGCAUGCUAUCCACCACUCUCUGAGUCUCUCUGUUGCGCGUUGCCCAUCUCCAAAUCUUCUUCAUCGGAAUCCAAGCUGGUGGCGCCUAUGUUGUAUCCAGGAACCUUCGACAGAAUCGCUUCGAUGCAGUGAAUGAGAGCCUUCAUCAAGGCUGUAAACCUCUGAUAACUCGAGAGCCAAACCAGCAGGAAAUAGAGCCAGCAAGCACGUUGCGGGAGGAUGAGAGAGAAGAGGAGAGAGAUUAACAUAAUGGGACAGAAAUGGUGGAAUCGCAAUUGAAGGAUGAUGAAUUGGUGGAGAAUUUAAUGGAGUAAAAGAGAGGAGGAAUAAAACGAGGGAGACAAACCAAAACCUGCUCCAACUGCUCAUCACACCAAAUGCAUCCCAAACUGCAUCAUCAUCUGUGAAUGAUUUAAGGGUGUUGAUAAACAACAUGCAAAGAUACCUCAAUUCCAACCAAAAACACAUAUCUUUGUUUUCUUUCUUUUUAGACCAAUUUUUCUGUGUGUGUGUUGGUAUAGAGCGUGGGAUUUAUAGAGCUUUGACUUGCAACUUGCCAAUAACUAUUAAUUAAUAGUACUAAAUUUCGAAACGUGGAGACUUCGCGGUUUAAUGGGGGCGCCGAUCGCAUCAUGGUCCCACACGAAUUAGAACCAAUGUGUGGAAAUAUGAUUGCAAUUCUUAUUGCUAUGGAAACCAUAAACAAAACAAAUAAACAAAAUGGUCCCACUCGAAUGAGAAAUAAUGUGCGGAAAUAUGACUACAAUUCUUCAACUUGAACUAAUAGUAACUUCAGAGCUAAUAGUUAAAAUAUGACCGUAACUUUUAAUAUUUUUAAAAAUAGGACUAUAUGUUACGAAAUUUGAAAAUGAAGACUAUACGUUUCAGAAUUUGAAAAUGUGGAUUAUAACUUCUAUUUUUUACAUAGUAGUGUAAAUGAGGACAUAUGGUCCCACUCGAAUGAGACCAAUGUGCGGAAAUAUGACUGCAAUUCUUCAACUUGAACUAAUAGUAAGUUCAGAGCUAAUAGUUAAAAUAUGACCGUAACUUUUAAUGUUUUCAAAAAUAGGACUAUAUGUUACGAAAUUUGAAAAUGGGGACUAUAUGUUUCAGAAUUUGGAAAUGAGGAUUAUAACUUCUAUUUUUUACAUAGUAGUGUAAAUGAGGACAUAUAGUAGUGUAAAUGUAAAAAUUGGAAGUUAUAGUCCUCAUUUUCAAAUUCUGUAAUAUAUAGUCCUCAUUUUUUAAUUCCGUAACAUAUAGUCUUAUAUUUGUGGAACACUGAAAAUUAUGGUCAUAUUUUAACAAUUAGCUCAGUAUGUUUAACUAAUUUUCAAGACACCCUACAUUUAAUUUUUUUUUUCAUCUCUCAAUUUUAUUAAACUCAUUAAUUACUCUGGCAUCACAUCUCACAAAACCAAAUUUCUGGAUCCCAACUUUAGCACUAGUUUGUAGUGCCUCUUGCAAAAUUUGUGAUAUACACAGAAAAUGAACUUGUUAGGUGUUAAUAUAUCUUGUUUUAUUGACACUCUCAAUGUUUUUAUUGAACUAUUAACACUGUGAAUGUUAAUAGCUUAUCAAGUUAGCUAAUCUUUUUUAUUUUAUUUUUAUCUUGAUUUUUUAAUACAUAUAAAUAUAUAUAAAAAAUUACAAGAGAUAAGUACGUUAUUUAAUAAUUAUAGUAUCCAUAUUAAUUGUUUAACUAUUUUACUAUAUUAAUUNUAAUUAUAGUAUCCAUAUUAAUUGUUUACAAAGUUAUAGUGAUUAAGUAUAUUAAUUUGUUAUAUUUGUCUCAUUUCACUUUCUUAGUUAAUUGUUAAAAUUAUUAUAAUUGGCCCCCACUGCGAUGCAAUUUCACUCGAAUGUCACUAGCUACACUGAUUUUGUAUAUAUUAAUUAACUAAUAUCAAACGUGAGCAAGAUUUGAUCAAACAAUAAGCUUAUUAUGAAAUUAAUUAAUUAAUCUAAGGUGGGUAGAGAAAGUCAACGUCGUUAAAGUAAGAAAACGACGCCACAUUGUCAAUAAUGUUUAGCUGAUCAUUUGCAUGACGCGUGAGUGGUGAUGCAAUCGGAAUAAUAUGCAUAUUCGAAUAUUCGAAUUUUCCAUUCAUCUACAAAUUGUAAAUGGAUACGCGUCACUUCUACAUAUAGCUUAAUUAGCUUAGAAACUAGAAAGAUUUUGGUUAAUUUGUGGCUUUGUCGGUGACUAUUCUUGAAAGAAGAUUUUUUUUUUAUAAUUAAGAACUUCUGAUCCUAAACUUAGCUACAAUAAAUAAAAAAAAAGAAAAGUAUAUAAACAAUGCAUAAUAUUCAAUAACUUAUAUUUAUGAUAGGAUUCGACAAUCUACAUUUAAUAUGAUAAAUUUGAAACCUUAAUUGGAUUCAAUAACCUUAGAUUAAAAGUCCAAACAAUUUUGAAAUCAACAUCCCAUAUUGUAACAAAUUAAUUAGGUCUAAUAAAAUAUCCUACACUUAAUUUAAUAAUUUUGACAUUUAUAAAAAUAAAAUAAAUAACCCAGACUUCAUAGUACAAUUUUGGGAUCUUAAAAGUCCAAAAUAUAAUAUUAUUAAAAAUCCAUAUUUAAUUUAUCCAAAAUCGAAAGCUCAAAUAAUAAAAAAUUAAUUAAACACAAUAAUUAAAAAUAAUGAAACCCUAAUCCCUAUUCUUCAAGCGACAUACUCCCUCCGUUUUUUAUUAAGUGUCAUCAGCUGUCAAAAUACACAUACCAAUNNNNNNNNNNNNNNNNNNNNNNNNNNNNNNNNNNNNNNNNNNNNNNGUCAAAAUACACAUACCAAUAAAAUAAGAUAUUUUACAUUUGUAACCUUAGUAAUUGUCAUAAUAAAUGCAUAUAUACAACUAAUUAUUACAUUCAUACUAGUAUUAAAUAAGGAUAAAAUAGGAAAAAUGCCAUAAAUAUACUCUCAAAUUUUGAAAUGAGACACUUAUUGAGAAACAAAAAAAUGAGCUAAAUGGGACACUUAUAAAUAAAGGAGAGAGUAUAUAUAUAUAUUAAUUUAAAUUCUUGUAAAAAACUCACAGCCAUCUUAAUUGAAUAUAAAUGACAUAAUAAAAAAAAAAAAACCUCUCCUAGGGUUAGGGGUCAUCACCUCAAUUGGCGCCGCACUCUAAUCUGCGGCCUCUUCACCUCGAAAUCAGCCGCAGCAGCCCAUUAUUUCCCGUUGCCUCGCUUCCUCCGGUGUCGGCCCUCUGUAGCAGCUGCCGAUGCCACCCCAGCCUAACGCUCUCUCUCUCUCUUUUCCGCUGGGCGACGUCACCCCGUAUCAGUGCAGUCCAUCAUUUCCUGCCUAGUCUUGGCCCAUCGGUGUAGCAGCUGCCGACGAUUAAUAGCAGGUAAACCAUUGCAAAUCUGAAAAUCUGGUAGUGAAAAAUUAUCAAGCAAAACUUGGAGGCUAAGAAUCCAAUUCAAUUCUGGAAACCAAUGUUUUGUUAUAUAUCAUGAUUAAUUUUAUGUUUAUCCAACAGAUUGUUGAAUCUCAUGUUUGUGCUCCAAGGCUUGAAUUGAUUUUUGAAGAUCAAAUUUCAUUUUCAGUUUAUAUAUGGGACAGAUCAUGGUAUUGUAGUACUACUAUAUAGCCAACUAUUACACAUUGGAAAAAUGGUGGAAUUCUUUUGGCUGAAAAAUGGUUGAAAAUUUAGUAUACAAAUCAAAACAUCACUUAAUAUACAUAGAAUUACACAUUAGUUAUAACGUUGAAGUGUUUUGGCGGGAAAAUGGCUAAACAUGGAUGUAUUUGGCUUUUAUAUAGAUAUAUAGAUAUAGAUAUAUAUAGAUAAUAUAGAUAGAUAUAUAUAGAUAUAUAGAUAACCAUCUAGGUUAGUGGCUAGAAGGACAUACUGAUUAAUAAUCAUAGUAGUCAAAUGGUAGUUUGAUUUAAACUUUGCUUAUAUAUUUGAAUCUAUGAAUUCUUUUUUUUUUCAUUAAAUUAAUUAUUUCACUCAUAAAAUGUUUAUUUUUAAUUAUUUUUUUUAAAUAAGAUUGGUUUAUUUUUUAUUUGUUAGGAUCAAUUUCAUGUAACUUUCUAUUUGUUUAUAAUUAUUAUAAGUGAGAUAGAUAAUUAGAUAAAAAAAAUAUUAUUUUUUCCGCCUAAAACAAAAGAUGCAUGAUUUUUUAUUUAUAUAUUUUUCCAAUUUUAUCUACUUAUUGUUCUAAAUUGCAAAUUAUUUAGCAAAACUUUUUAAUUUUAUUUAAUGUAUGUCAUUUUUAUAUCAUUGUUACACCUAUCAUUUUUAAACAUAGGUGUAAUAGAUAAAAUCUAUAUAUUAUAUUNNNNNNNNNNNNNNNNNNNNNNNNNNNNNNNNNNNNNNNNNNNNNNNNNNNNNNNNNNNNNNNNNNNNNNNNNNNNNNNNNNNNNNNNNNNNNNNNNNNNNNNNNNNNNNNNNNNNNNNNNNNNNNNNNNNNNNNNNNNNNNNNNNNNNNNNNNNNNNNNNNNNNNNNNNNNNNNNNNNNNNNNNNNNNNNNNNNNNNNNNNNNNNNNNNNNNNNNNNNNNNNNNNNNNNNNNNNNNNNNNNNNNNNNNNNNNNNNNNNNNNNNNNNNNNNNNNNNNNNNNNNNNNNNNNNNNNNNNNNNNNNNNNNNNNNNNNNNNNNNNNNNNNNNNNNNNNNNNNNNNNNNNNNNNNNNNNNNNNNNNNNNNNNNNNNNNNNNNNNNNNNNNNNNNNNNNNNNNNNNNNNNNNNNNNNNNNNNNNNNNNNNNNNNNNNNNNNNNNNNNNNNNNNNNNNNNNNNNNNNNNNNNNNNNNNNNNNNNNNNNNNNNNNNNNNNNNNNNNNNNNNNNNNNNNNNNNNNNNNNNNNNNNNNNNNNNNNNNNNNNNNNNNNNNNNNNNNNNNNNNNNNNNNNNNNNNNNNNNNNNNNNNNNNNNNNNNNNNNNNNNNNNNNNNNNNNNNNNNNNNNNNNNNNNNNNNCAGAGUAAAUAGUCCAAAAUUAAAAGCUCAAAUUCUUACUACAUAAACAGCCAUAUUUGAAAUAAAAUGUUAAUUUAAUUUAACAAUUAAAAACAAAACUAAUUGAAAACAAUAUUUUUACAUAAUCACGUCGUUUUAUAAAAUAUAGGUCAGAAAAAUUGAAGCUAAAAAAAUGAACGAAUGGAACAAUUGAUACAAAAUUGAUAGUUUAAGAUUUAAAAAAUUAUUUUCGAUAGUUCAGGAUAUAAUUGAUUGUGCAAAAAUAGUUUAAGAUUUAAAGUGAUAUUUACCUUAAAAAUGUGAGCUAACUCUAUUCUCAAAUCUUCAUCACUCGACACCUUCGUCUCUUCACUCUUUCUGCUUCUUCCUCAAAUAACUCACCUUUUAUCACUCGACACCUUCGUCUCUUCACUCUUUCUGCUUCUUCCUCAAAUAACUCACCUUUUAUCAACGUGUCAAUUUGAAAUCUCAUUCGCCACUCGUAUUCCAUAGCCGACUUUGCUAGCCGCCCUUUGCGCGCUACACUGUCGCAUUUUCAAGUUUUUGAAAGCCAGGUGAUCAUCACAAUAGAGAUAUUUUUUAGUACAAAAUUUUGAUAUUUUUUUUUACCCUAAUCUAAUCGAGCUUUGAGGGUUUUGUUUUGUGUCCCUCAUCUGUUUGAUCUUUUUCCUGUGUAGAAAGGUUACCUACUUUUUAGUUUUGGUAUUUGAAACAUGUUCGUUUUCUCAUUUAAUUUUCUCAUAUAUAUGUAUAGAUACAACAAGACAAAGAUGUCGUCUGAACCCUCCCAGAACCCCGCUGCCGCCGAAGAUUCGGGCGAGAAGAAGCUCUCCAAGAAGGAGCUUGCCAAGCUGGAGCGCCUGCGCAAGCGCCAAGAAGCGGCCGCCGCCGCUGCCACAUCUGCUGCAGCCCUCACCCUCGAAGAUGAGGACCCACUGGCGGUCAAUUACGGCGAAAUUCCGGCCAACGACCUACAAUCGAAGGCAGUAACGGGGAGAAAAUUGACGCAGGUCAAAUAUUUGACCGACGAGCUCAAGGACAGGGCGGUGCAGAUACAGGGCCACGCGCAGGCGAUUCGUGCCGUGGGGAAGAAGAUGUCGUUCUUGGUGGUGAGGGAGGAGUGCUUCACUGUGCAGUGCGUAUUGACUGUGGCCCAGGAUUUGGUAAGCCCCCAGAUGGUGAAGUUCGCCAACAGUUUGAGCCGGGAGAGCAUUGUUGAUAUCGAAGGGAUUGUUUCUGUGCCCUCUCAGCCGAUCACCGGUGCCUCGCAGCAGGUAUAAUCAAGUUACCCUCUUAUAAAAGCAUGAGUUUGAUUUGAGGAAAGGUAUAGAUGUUUAAGAUGUUUAGGCAAAAUCUUGCUAAAUAGUCCACUGCAAUAAUGAUAACCUAUAUUACUACUCUGAUUUCUGUAUUAUUCAUAUUUUUCUUAGUUUAGGCAUAGUCCUAUUUUAUUCAAUCAUACCUAGGCCUGUAUAUAUAUGUAUAUAGUAGUCCAAAACGAAGAAAAACUUUAGUUCAAAAACUCAUACCUGUAUGAAUAUAUAUAUUAUGCAUAUUUGAUACAAAACUCAACAAAUAAAGCAUAUUGAAAGAUAACGGUGGCGAGACACACAUACAUGUAUAUAUAUGUACGUAUAUACAGGCAAUCGAGUAUACUAAAAGUAUCUGAAGCUACUUAAAAGAGAAAAAAGUAUCUGAAGUUCUUGCGACAUGCAAACCUAAAAAGCAUUUUAAUAUAUUGACUAUUCUGCUUAGUAUCCCACUCUUUAUUAUUUUAAUUUAUUGUGAGACUCUUUAUUAUUUUAAUGCAUCACAGUUAUUAGAAGUAUGUGUUCAUACAUAACAUAUGCAUUGACUAAAGGAUAAAUAGUUUUUUGUUUUCCAUCAAAAUACAAAUGCUCUCAUUGUGUUAAUACAAUGCAGAUCGUAUAUAUUUCUUAAAUGCUUUUUCACAACGCCUAUAUAACAUGAUUCUUUGUCAACACCAAAAAAAUAUAAUGGCAGAAACAGAAAUACAAUGGUACAACACCUAUAUAACGUAUGGACUUUUAAAGUACAAAAAAAUCUUUUAAAAUCUGAAUUGAAUGCAUCCCCCUUAGUUUACUGUUUGAGUGAAUUUGUUUGAAUUCUAUAGGUGGAAAUUCAAGUGAGGAAACUCUAUUGUGUUAGCAAGGCUGUUCCUAUUCUGCCUUUCAAUAUUGAAGACGCUGCAAGAAGCGAGGCUGAGAUUGAGAAGGCUUUGCAGGUAUCGAGUUACGUUUAAAAUAAAAAGAGACACGCUACACAUAAUAACAUACUUGUCUUUCUCUUUUAUAUAUUGGAAACAUUGAGCCAAAAAGUGCAUUCUGAAUGCAGGCAGGUGAGCCACUUGUUCGUGUAAAUCCGGAUACUCGCUUGAAUAACAGAUUCUUCGACUUACGCACUCCUGCUAAUCAAGGAAUAUUUGGAGUCGAAAGUGAAGUUGAGAACGUGAGCAUAACUUGUUUUAUUUUGUAGGUGUUUCCCAUUUCUUUAGCAUCUAUGUGCAUUACAAGACGUUUACCACUUCAAGCAUCGUCCUGCUGUUCCUUAUGCAGUAUUUGAAGUGAUAUUGGCAUCUUUUCGUUUGCUGAAGUUCUUCGUAUUUUUUCAAAAUUUUAUGAUUGUUUAAUUUUUUGACAGAAUGAAUCAUAGUGAAGUCUUGAGCUGAAAUGCUUAAUAUACUACUUUUUGAUGCAGAUAUUUAGGCAAUUUAUGUUAUCAAAAGGUUUCUGUAAAAUCCACACACCAACAUUGACUGCGGGUUCUAGUGAAGGUGGUGCAGCUGUGUUUAGAUUGGAUUACUUUGGAAAACCUGCUUGUUUGGCACAGUCACCUCAGUUAUUUAAACAGAUGGCCAUCAGUGGUGGUUUUAGCCGUGUGUUUGCGAUUGUUCCAGUAUUCAGGGCGGAGAACUCUUCCACUCACCGACAUUUGUGUGAGUUUAUUGGUCUUGAUGUGGAAAUGAGGAUUGAGAAGCACUAUUCAGAGGUAUGUAUGUAUUAUUUCUGCAGGUGAUGUUUCUAGGUCUGUUUCUAUAGGUUAUUAACACCUACACUUAUUUGUGCAGGUGAUGGACAUUGUCGAUUGCUUAUUUGUUGAAAUGUUUGACAGAUUGAAUGAGAGAUGUGCUAAGGAGCUUGAAUUUAUUAAUAAGCAAUAUGCAUUUGAAAAUCUAAAGGUUGGCUCUUCGUCAAACCAAAAAUUAUUUUUAUGCAUCUACACUCACUUUUUUGUUGUGAAUGCUCAUCCUUGAAUUUUAAUGUAAAUUUAAUUUGCAGUACUUACGGAAGACCUUACGACUUACAUUUGAGGAGGGGGUUCAAAUGCUUAAGGUAAGAUGUGAAAUGAUUUGAUAGAUAUGCACAAGUAUAAAGUGGUGGUAGUCUAGUCUAAGAUGUGAAAUGAUUUGAUAGAGAUAUUCUGAUGCUGAUUUUUUUGCUUGGUUGCAAAACGAGAAAAUGGUAGAUGUUUGGAAAUUUACAAGCCAUUUACGCUUUUAUUUUACUCUUUUCUUUAAUGACAGGAAGCUGGCAUAGAAAUUGAUCCUUUUGGAGAUCUCAACACAGAAACAGAGCGAAAGCUUGGCCAGCUUGUCCUAGACAAGUAAUUAAGCUGAUUGUUAUUAUUUUAUUUACUUGAGUUAAUUAUUUUCCUCACAUGCAUGUGACUUGCAUAUUAAUUAUCAACUAAAUUUCAAUUUCAGGUACGGUACCGAGUUCUACAUACUUCAUCGCUUUCCUCUAGCAGUUCGACCAUUCUAUACGAUGCCAUGCCCUGAUAAUCCAAAGUAUAGCAAUUCAUUUGAUGUUUUCUUACGAGGUAAAUGUUUGCUUGAUAACAUUUCUUAUUUUACUUGACCGUUCGACUGGACAUCCGUACCUGUCUGCGUACUAUCCCGUCCUUGUUCCUUUUGGCGGCAGUGCACUACUUUUCAGACUGGAAAUUUGUAUCUCACUAAGUUUUGGGCUAAAAUUCUGUAUUUUGCCUGGAUGAAAAGCUAAUACAAUUAAAAUUUCUCCUCCCAUAAUAAUCACCAAUAAAAGUUUCAUGAUUCGUCGUAGAUUGGAAGCUUCAUUCGUGUAUUGGAUCUGUUACCUGAAUCUUUUUCUGUUUUAUUUUUUUAAUUUUUUUAUUGCUAGGUGAGGAAAUCAUAUCAGGAGCUCAGCGUAUUCACGAGCCCGAGUUUUUGGCGGAGCGUGCACGAGCAUGCGGGAUUGACGUCAACACUAUAUCAACUUACAUUGAUUCCUUCAGGUCGACCCUUUAUAUUCCUAUAGAAGAGCUUAAUUGCUUUAUUGUUUACAUAUAAAGUUCAAUCAACUUUAUUGCUUUAUUGCUUAAUUUUUUCAUAUAUUCAUGAUUAGAAAGUUCAAUCAACUUAAUUGCUUUAUUGUUUACAUGAGUUUGUGAAAGUCACAAAAAAAUUAAUUCUCUUUAAUCUAAGAGACAAUGGGACUGAUCAAGACAUAUAGUUUUGAUUCAAAACUAGACUGUCUCAUGUUCGUAAGAAGAAUAAAUCAUGUAAUGAAAUCAAAACUACCCACAUUAAACAUGUCUCUCUUAUUCAAAACUACCCAUGUCCCACCUCUUCUGACCAGCAUUGGAAUUCCACGUUUAUUUGCUGAUUUGCCUGUUUAUUGAAAUCAUGUAAUGUGGGUUACAUUUUUAUUCAUGUUUAACAUAUACACUUGUUUUUGUACACUGGUUGCUUUUAGGUACGAGACGCCACCUCAUGGUGGAUUUGGAGUGGGAUUGGAGCGGGUGGCGAUGCUUUUCUGUGCGCUUGACAACAUUCGUAAAACAUCAUUGUUUCCUCGUGAUCCACGGAGAAUCUUUCCUCAUGAUCCUAUACCACCUUUCACUAUUGAAGACACGGCAAGAACCGAGAUGUGCGAAGGAGCUUGAAGCUGUCAAUGAGAAGUAUCCGUUUGAAAAUCUCAAGGUUGGCUCUUUGUUAAAUUGAUCUUGUUUUAUUUAGUAUCUACACUCACCUUUGUGAAUGCUCAUUAUUAAAUUUGAUUUUUGCUAAUUUGCAGUACCUACGGAAUACCUUACGACUUACAUUUGAAGAAGGGGUGCAAAUGCUUAAGGUAAGAUUAUGAGAAAUGAUUUCAUAGAGAUGCAUAGUAAUUAGAAAUUUCCAAGAGUAUAUUUUGUAAUAUGGAUAAUUAUACCUGUUCACACAAAGUUUGCCUUUCCUUUAAUGAGACGGUGUCUUCUACUGCAGGAAGCUGGCAUAGAAGUUGAUCAUUUUAGAGAUCUCAACACAGAAACACAGCGAAAGCUUGGCCAGCUUGUCCUAGACAAGUAAUUAAGCUGAUUAAUUGUUAGUACUACUAUUUAAUCUACUUGACUUGCAUAUUAAUUAUCGACUACAUUUGAAUUUCAGGUAUGGUACUGAGUUCUACAUACUUCAUCGCUACCCUCUAGCAGCUAGACCAUUCUAUACAAUGCCAUGCCAGGAUAAUUCAAAGUAUAGCAAUUCGUUUGAUGUCUUCAUUCGAGGUAAGUGUGGACAAUGGUCACUCCAUAACAUUUGUAGUUUUAGUUUCAAUUUGUUAAGCUGCAUAUGUAAUAGAUGCGACAAAUAAAUGAAAGCUAGUUAAUAUUGUCAAAUUUCUCCGUACUAAAAAGUUUCAUGAUUCAUAGUAGUUUAGAAGUCUGAAUCUUUUUCUUGGUGUUUAUUAUUGGUAGGUGAGAAAGUGAUAUCAGGAGGUCAGCAUAUUCACGAGCAAGAGCUUUUGGCAGAGCGUGCACGAGCAUGCGGGAUCAACGUCAACACUAUAUCGACAUACACUGAUUGCUUCAGGUUCACUUGUUGAGCUCCCUUUGUUUUCUCAUCUUAUCUAAAAAAGCCUUGAGUUGAUUUUGUUUUGUACAUUGGUUGCUCGUGAUUAGGUGUGGGGCAGCACCUCAGGGUGGAUUCGGAGUGGAAUUGGAACGCGUUGUGAUGCUUUUCUGUGAGCUGGACGACGUUCAUAAAACAUCACUUUUCCCACGUGAUCCGCAGAGGUUAGAACCUUGAUUAAGGAUGUUCAUAUACUACAUGAGAUUUCCAGUUUAGUCAUUAGGUCAUAGAAUAUUUUUCUUAGGCGCAACGCCUUCUUCUAGAAGCUUCAUUCGUGUGUCGAGAAGACGGCUCAAUCAGGACACUAGCUAGGUCUUAUUAGUAAGUGUCCUGAUUGAGCCAUCUUCUGGCAGCUAGAUGUAAAGUGUUGAUACAAAAGUAGAUUGUUUCUUCUUCUUACGAAGAAAUGCAGUUUUGGGUUAGAAAUUGAUUAAUUUCAGCUAUAGAGGUUGAAGAUACAAUGACGCAAAGCGUAUUCGGACUUUCAUUCAUCUAGAAACUAAAUUAUGUAAGUCUUCAUCCUUGGUGGAGCCAUAAUGUUCCCUUGGUUCCGUAAAAUUUGAGCAAUUUUUUUUUCGAUACAAAUUUUAAAAAUUUAGUAUUUUAUAUGCUGAGUGUAAUAGAGGAAAAAAGUGAAAAAUUGAAAAGAUAAAUAAAUAAAUAAAAUUUCCAUAUAACAAAAACACUCAUGCUUUGCGGGACAACUCGAUCACUUCCUCAAUCAUGUAAUGCCUGAAAAAGUUCAAUGAUGUAGAUGUGAAAAAGGAANCGAUAUGCCCUAGUUCAAGUCUUAAUGUAAAAUACCUAAAAAAAUUCCUUUUUCACAUUCACGUAACACGUGCGAGUUACUACAUCAAUAAUUGAUGUGCGGAUUAGGGAAUUCUUUUGGUCCCACCAUUUUUCAGUCUUAUUCAAUUUCAACUCAUCAACUCAUGACUAAACUAAAUGUAUUAAAAAGAAGUGAAAAAGUUUAGAAUUUUAAAAUAAUUUUUUUAAAGAAUUGAAAAACAGAAGCUACACUAAGUUGAUAUUGUAUUGAAUCUCACAUUGAAAAAUGUAAGUUUCUCUACAAUGUGUAGUACAAUAUAAAUAGUGAAGUUACAUCUAAUUGAUUUUAUAUCAAAUCUCAAAUUGAAAAAUAUAGGCUUCUCUAUAAUGUGUAGUACACUAUAAACAGUUAAGCCACCUUACAAAUUGUAUGUCACCUUACAAAUUUCAUUGUAUCCUCCUCAAUCAAUGGAUGCUAAAUAAUCUAAAUUCAACCUUAGGUUGGACAAGAAAUAUACAAACUAAAAAAAGAGUAUCAACAAGCAAGAUAUGUGAAAUUUAAAAUUUCUAAAUUCUAAUAAUAUGAUACCAAACAAAAAAAAAAAGAUGAUGCAUGGCCAUUGUGAGUUGUGAAUUAAUUGUCUCGUAGAACUCUCCUAUUUUAUUCUGUGACGCCCUCCUCCGGUUAAAAUAAUCAGAAUCAAAUUAUGAAAAAUUAAACAACUACAAAAUAAACACUCUUAUUAGUUUUAGCUUUGACAAAUUAUAUAAUGAAAUAACUUUAGACUCACGACACAGAGAAAGGGACAGAAACUUAUGGGCAAUUUCCUUGCAAUAUAUUGGCUAAUUAAACAAACUAUAUUAUUAGUAUUUGUUGACCUUUUGGGUUCAACUAAUUCGUGCCAACCAAAAACUUAUUAAUUGAACAUCAAGAUUUUGGGAUGCCAAGUUCCAGAGGAAAUUCCAUUAGAUAAUUUGAUCAAACCGGAAAAAGAUAUACUCCUACUAUAUAUUACUCCCUUUGUCCCAUUUAACAUGAUUUCUUUGUCUUUUUGAGUUGUCCCGGCCCGUUACAAAUGGCACAUUUCAAAAAAUGAAAUUAUUUAUUUCACAAAAAGUUAUGAAUUUCACAACUUUUUAUUAUUUUUAUUUUUUUAAUUACUCUUUUAUUUAAUAAUUUUGUCUAAAGUAAGGAGUCAUAUAUACUUAAUGAGAUGAAGGGAUGCAAAGAGACGAAUAAAACGAGCCAUGAAAAAUGAAAAUGGUUAAUUAGUUUGGGCACAAAUUAAUAAUGACAAGUUUGUUAAGGCUCAUUUUUAUUAAUUUUAUUAGGCCCAUACGACUACUAUGGUCCAAGUUUGUUUGUUGUUUUAAAAAAACUAUAGUCCAAGUUUAGAAUACUCAUAGUUGCUGCCUUGCUGGUGGAGGAGGAGUAUAAAUAAAUAAUUAAAUAAUUUUAUUGCGCCAUAAAUAUUGAAAACUUGCAGCAGCCAACAGAUGAAACUUCCCUAGAUUAAGGUAUUUACUUUUGAGAAUUAAUUUAGAUAGGUCAAAAUAGUAUUCUCAUUUUUUAUCAUAAAAACUGAAGUCUCCUAAUAAUUAACAAUUAAUAAAUUUGAAGAAUGAUUUGUUUUUCAAGUAAAAUACGGAACUUUGCUAAUUUUAAUUGCUUCCAUAUGAUAAUGAGGAAACAUGCAUAUAUUAAUUUAUUCAUGCAUGAAUCUUAAAUAUAACUAAUAACAAGUUGGAUGCAUUGUUUAUGAGAUAUAAAUUGCAACAUUUAUAUAAGUGGAAAUGGAAGGUCGUGUGUAGCAUGCAAUAGCCAUGCAACGUACUACAACAUGCAUUCUCUGCAGACACAGACACCAUCUCUCUCUCUCUCUCUCUCAACUUAUUGCAUCUCCAAAUCAAGAACAGCAACUUCAUCAAAAUCAACACUAGUAAAGCUGAUGUUGUAUCCGGGAAUCCUACAUAGAAUUGCUUGCAAACACUGAACAAAACCCUUUAUUAUACCUGAAAAUGUCUCAAAACUCGAGAGCCAAACCAGCAGGAAAUAGGGCCAGCAAGCACGUUGUGGGAGGAUGAGAGAGAAGAUGAAAGAGAUUAACACAAUGGGACUGAAAUUCUGAAAUCGCAGUUGAAGGAUGAUGAGAUUGGUGGAGAAUUUAAUGGAGUAAAACGAGAGGAGGAA
rnacentral:lncRNA from 1 species